UACGGAGGGAGCUAGCGUUGUUCGGAAUUACUGGGCGUAAAGCGCACGUAGGCGGCCAUUCAAGUCAGAGGUGGAAGCCCGGGGCUCAACCCCGGAACUGCCUUUGAAACUAGAUGGCUUGAAUCUUGGAGAGGCGAGUGGAAUUCCGAGUGUAGAGGUGAAAUUCGUAGAUAUUCGGAAGAACACCAGUGGCGAAGGCGACUCGCUGGACAAGUAUUGACGCUGAGGUGCGAAAGCGUGGGGAGCAAACAGG
rnacentral:rRNA from 1 species